rnacentral:rRNA from 1 species
UACGGGGGGAGCAAGCGUUGUUCGGAUUUACUGGGCGUAAAGGGCGCGUAGGCGGCGCAACAAGUCACUUGUGAAAUCUCCGGGCUUAACCCGGAACGGUCAACUGAUACUGUGCGACUAGAGUGCAGAAGGGGCAACUGGAAUUCUCGGUGUAGCGGUGAAAUGCGUAGAUAUCGAGAGGAACACCUGCGGCGAAGGCGGGUUGCUGGGCUGACACUGACGCUGAGGCGCGAAAGCCAGGGGAGCGAACGGG